GUGGGGAAUUUUGGACAAUGGGCGCAAGCCUGAUCCAGCAAUGCCGCGUGUGUGAAGAAGGCCUUCGGGUUGUAAAGCACUUUUGGCAGGAAAGAAAUAGUGCGUGCUAAUACCAUGCGCGAAUGACGGUACCUGCAGAAUAAGCACCGGCUAACUACGUGCCAGCAGCCGCGGUAAGACGUAGGGUGCAAGCGUUAAUCGGAAUUACUGGGCGUAAAGCGUGCGCAGGCGGUUUUGUAAGACAGGUGUGAAAUCCCCGGGCUCAACCUGGGAACUGCACUUGUGACUGCAAGGCUAGAGUGUGUCAGAGGGAGGUGGAAUUCCGCGUGUAGCAGUGAAAUGCGUAGAGAUGCGGAGGAACACCGAUGGCGAAGGCAGCCUCCUGGGAUAACACUGACGCUCAGGCACGAAAGCGUGGGGAGCAAACAGGAUUAGAUACCCCAGUAGUCC
rnacentral:rRNA from 1 species